rnacentral:rRNA from 1 species
GAACUGAAGAGUUUGAUCCUGGCUCAGAUUGAACGCUGGCGGCAUGCCUAACACAUGCAAGUCGAACGCGAAAUCACCUUCGGGUGAAAGUAGAGUGGCGGACGGGUGAGUAAUGCUUGGGAAUCUGCCCAGUAGUGGGGGAUAACUCGGGGAAACUCGAGCUAAUACCGCAUACGCCCUACGGGGGAAAGAUUUAUCGCUAUUGGAUGAGCCCAAGUCGGAUUAGCUAGUUGGUAGGGUAAUGGCCUA